GUUUAUAUUUACUGGACCCUUGAUAUGUGUGGGUGUGUAUAUUGAUUUAUAUGUGUACAGAAUUAUACUUACACCUAAAAUUGAACAAACAUAUAAUUGUGAAUAAUGUCCGAUUCUCUCGGAAAUUAUGUUCCACAGAAAAGUAAUGAAAGUGAGGGAAAACAGUCUUUCACUACAAAAGACGAAAAUGGUAAAGGAGGUGCAUCAAAGAAUCCAUUUCGAGGAGAUUAUGGAAAUCUUGUUUCCCCACCACCACCACAGCCGCCACCGCCACCACCGCCGAAAAAUCCGAACACGUAGAUACAAGUGUGUGUAUUGUUAAACUAUAUAAUGAUUGAAUAAAUAUUUUUAAG